rnacentral:tRNA from 1 species
ACUUAAAUAGCUUAAAUGAGAGCGUGGUAUUGAAGAUGCUAAGGUGACAAAUGUUUUUAAGUA